rnacentral:rRNA from 1 species
GGUUAAGUGACUAAGCGUACACGGUGGAUGCCUUGGCAGUUGGAGGCGAUGAAGGACGUACUAACUUGCGAUAAGCCUAGUCAAGCCAGUAAGAGGCGCUUGAGACUAGGAUUUCCGAAUGGGGAAACCCACCUGCUUGCAGGUAUCGUUAAUUGAAUACAUAGGUUAACGAGGCGAACGCGGAGAACUGAAACAUCUAAGUACCCGUAGGAAAAGAAAUCAACCGAGAUUCCGAAAGUAGCGGCGAGCGAAAUCGGACCAGCCCUUAAGCUUUAGUGUAGUUAGUGGAACAUGCUGGAAAGCAUGACGAAACAGGGUGAUAGUCCCGUACACAAAAACUUAUCUAAAGUGAAAUCGAGUAGGUCGGAGCACGUGAAACUUUGACUGAAUAUGGGGGGACCAUCCUCCAAGGCUAAAUACUCCCAACUGACCGAUAGUGAACCAGUACCGUGAGGGAAAGGCGAAAAGAACCCCUGUGAGGGGAGUGAAAUAGAACCUGAAACCGUGUACGUACAAGCAGUAGGAGCCUACUUGUUGGGUGACUGCGUACCUUUUGUAUAAUGGGUCAGCGACUUAUAUUCUGUAGCGAGGUUAACCAUUUAGGGGAGCCGUAGCGAAAGCGAGUCUUAACUGGGCGCUUAAGUUGCAGGGUAUAGACCCGAAACCCGGUGAUCUAGCCAUGGGCAGGUUGAAGGUUGAGUAACAUCAACUGGAGGACCGAACCCACUAACGUUGAAAAGUUAGGGGAUGACCUGUGGCUAGGAGUGAAAGGCUAAUCAAACCGGGAGAUAGCUGGUUCUCCCCGAAAUCUAUUUAGGUAGAGCCUCGGACGAAUACUUACGGGGGUAGAGCACUGUUAAGGCUAGGGGGUCAUCCCGACUUACCAACCCUUUGCAAACUCCGAAUACCGUAAAGUAAUAUCCGGGAGACACACGGCGGGUGCUAACGUCCGUCGUGGAGAGGGAAACAACCCAGACCGUCAGCUAAGGUCCCAAAGUGUAUGUUAAGUGGGAAACGAUGUGGGAAGGCUAAAACAGCUAGGAGGUUGGCUUAGAAGCAGCCACCCUUUAAAGAAAGCGUAAUAGCUCACUAGUCGAGUCGGCCUGCGCGGAAGAUGUAACGGGGCUAAACAUACCACCGAAGCUACGGCUGCGUACGUAAGUAUGCGGGGUAGGGGAGCGUUCUGUAAGUGGCUGAAGGUGUGCCGGGAGGCAUGCUGGACAUAUCAGAAGUGCGAAUGCUGACAUGAGUAACGACAAGAGGAGUGAAAAACUCCUCCGCCGGAAGACCAAGGGUUCCUAUCCCAUGUUAAUCAGGGUAGGGUGAGUCGACCCCUAAGGCGAGGCUGAAGAGCGUAGUCGAUGGGAAACGGGUUAAUAUUCCCGUACUCGGUAUGAAUGCGAUGGGGGGACGGAGCAGGCUAGGCAAGCAUGGCGUUGGUUGUCCAUGUGAAAGGCUGUAGGCUGGUGACUUAGGAAAAUCCGGGUUGCCAAGGCUGAGAGUCGAGACGAGCCACUAAGGUGGUGAAGUUGUUGAUGCCCUACUUCCAGGAAAAGCCUCUAAGCUUCAGUUCAUACUGAAUCGUACCCUAAACCGACACAGGUGGUCAGGUAGAGAAUACUAAGGCGCUUGAGAGAACUCGGGUGAAGGAACUAGGCAAAAUUGUACCGUAACUUCGGGAGAAGGUACGCUCUUGUUUGUGAAGGACUUGCUCUGUAAGCAAACGAGAGCCGCAGUGACCAGGUGGCUGGGACUGUUUAUUAAAAACACAGCACUGUGCAAAAUCGUAAGAUGACGUAUACGGUGUGACACCUGCCCGGUGCCGGAAGGUUAAUUGAUGGGGUUAGCUUAGGCGAAGCUCUUGAUCGAAGCCCCGGUAAACGGCGGCCGUAACUAUAACGGUCCUAAGGUAGCGAAAUUCCUUGUCGGGUAAGUUCCGACCUGCACGAAUGGUGUAACCAUGGCCACGCUGUCUCCACCCGAGACUCAGUGAAAUUGAAAUCGCAGUGAAGAUGCUGUGUACCCGCGGCUAGACGGAAAGACCCCGUGAACCUUUACUACAGCUUGGCACUGAACAUUGACCCUACAUGUGUAGGAUAGGUGGGAGGCUUUGAAGCAGAGACGCUAGUUUCUGUGGAGCCGACCUUGAAAUACCACCCUUGUAGUGUUGAUGUUCUAACUUAGGCCCCUGAAUCGGGGUUGAGGACAGUGCCUGGUGGGUAGUUUGACUGGGGCGGUCUCCUCCCAAAGAGUAACGGAGGAGCACGAAGGUUUGCUAAGUACGGUCGGACAUCGUACGGUUAGUGUAAUGGUAGAAGCAAGCUUAACUGCGAGACAGACACGUCGAGCAGGUACGAAAGUAGGUCAUAGUGAUCCGGUGGUUCUGAAUGGAAGGGCCAUCGCUCAACGGAUAAAAGGUACUCCGGGGAUAACAGGCUGAUACCGCCCAAGAGUUCAUAUCGACGGCGGUGUUUGGCACCUCGAUGUCGGCUCAUCACAUCCUGGGGCUGAAGUCGGUCCCAAGGGUAUGGCUGUUCGCCAUUUAAAGUGGUACGCGAGCUGGGUUUAGAACGUCGUGAGACAGUUCGGUCCCUAUCUGCCGUGGGCGUUUGAGAAUUGAGAGGGGCUGCUCCUAGUACGAGAGGACCGGAGUGGACGAACCGCUGGUGUUCGGGUUGUGAUGCCAAUUGCAUUGCCCGGUAGCUACGUUCGGAACUGAUAACCGCUGAAAGCAUCUAAGCGGGAAGCAGGCCUCGAGAUGAGUUCUCACUUUGACUUAGAGUCAACUGAAGGGCCGUUGAAGACUACAACGUUGAUAGGCGAGAUGUGGAAGUGCUGUGAGGCAUUAAGCUAACUCGUACUAAUUACCCGUGAGGCUUAACCAU